UACGUAGGGUGCAAGCGUUGUCCGGAAUUAUUGGGCGUAAAGAGCUCGUAGGCGGUUUGUCGCGUCUGCUGUGAAAACUCAGGGCUUAACCCUGAGCCUGCAGUGGGUACGGGCAGGCUAGAGGUAGGUAGGGGAGAAUGGAAUUCCCGGUGUAGCGGUGAAAUGCGCAGAUAUCGGGAGGAACACCGGUGGCGAAGGCGGUUCUCUGGGCCUUACCUGACGCUGAGGAGCGAAAGCGUGGGGAGCGAACAGG
rnacentral:rRNA from 1 species